GCAGGGGUUGUCGAGAUUGGUCAAAGGCGCUAGAUUGAGGGUCUAGUCCCGUAGGGGUACGUGGGUUCAAAUCCCAUCCCCUGCA
rnacentral:tRNA from 1 species